rnacentral:miRNA from 14 species
AACUGAUACAAGUAGGAUUGUC